UACGGGGGGGGUAAGCGUUGUUCGGAAUUACUGGGCGUAAAGGGCUCGUAGGCGGCCAACUAAGUCAGACGUGAAAUCCCUCAGCUUAACUGGGGAACUGCGUCUGAUACUGGAUGGCUUGGAUUCGGGAGAGGAAUGCGGAAUUCCAGGUGUAGCGGUGAAAUGCGUAGAUAUCUGGAGGAACACCGGUGGCGAAGGCGGCAUUCUGGACCGACAUUGACGCUGAGGAGGGAAAGCUAGGGGAGCAAACAGG
rnacentral:rRNA from 1 species